GACGAACGCUGGCGGCGUGCUUAGCACAUGCAAGUCGAGCGGUAAGGCCCUUUCGGGGGUACGACGAGCGGCGAACGGGUGAGUAACACGUGGGUGACCUGCCCUCAGCUCUGGGAUAAGCCUGGGAAACUGGGUCUAAUACUGGAUAUGACUCCACGGUGCAUGUCGUGGGGUGGAAAGCCUUGUGCGGCUGAGGAUGGGCCCGCGGCCUAUCAGCUUGUUGGUGGGGUGAUGGCCUACCAAGGCGACGACGGGUAGCCGGCCUGAGAGGGCGACCGGCCACACUGGGACUGAGACACGGCCCAGACUCCUACGGGAGGCAGCAGUGGGGAAUCUUGCGCAAUGGGCGAAAGCCUGACGCAGCGACGCCGCGUGAGGGAUGACGGCCU
rnacentral:rRNA from 1 species